AAAUGCGAUAAGUAAUGUGAAUUGCAGAAUUCAGUGAAUCAUCGAAUCUUUGAACGCACAUUGCGCCCGCUAGUAUUCUGGCGGGCAUGCCUGUUCGAGCGUCAUUUCAACCAUCAAGCUCCCCGGGCUUGCGUUGGGGUUCCUGCGGCCGCUCGCAGGCUCCGAAAUGCAGCGGCGGCGUCGACCCGAUGAGCCCGAGCGAAUGGGGACUUUUGUCACACGUUUGCGGUGCGGACCGGCGCCUGCUUGACUUUUCUGAUUAUCCAGGUUGACCUCGGAUCAGGUAGGGAUACCCGCUGAACUUAAGC
rnacentral:misc_RNA from 1 species